rnacentral:rRNA from 1 species
GACGAACGCUGGCGGCGUGCUUAACACAUGCAAGUCGAACGAGAGGACAAGAGAAGCUUGCUUCUUUGGAAUCGAGUGGCAAACGGGUGAGUAACACGUAAACAACCUGCCUUCAGGAUGGGGACAACAGACGGAAACGACUGCUAAUACCGAAUACGCUUGGGAGACCGCAUGAUCUACCAAGGAAAGGGUGGCCUCUACCUGUAAGCUAUCGCCUGAAGAGGGGUUUGCGUCUGAUUAGGCAGUUGGUGAGGUAACGGCCCACCAAACCUACGAUCAGUAGCCGGUCUGAGAGGAUGAACGGCCACACCUGGAACUGAGACACGGUCCAGACUCCUACGGGAGGCAGCAGUGGGGAAUCUUCCGCAAUGGGCGAAAGCCUGACGGAGCAACGCCGCGUGAGUGAUGACGGCCUCGG